rnacentral:rRNA from 1 species
AUGUCAUCCUCCGCCCCAAAGCAGCCAGUGACAAGGCCUACAACUGCUGAUGACGCACCACCGGUUCAGAUGCCGGCCGCUGAAGCAGCGGGGGGAGACCCAGCUGCAGCACAUGCUCAGCAGACCAACCUGGUGGAACAGACUGCUAAGCAGUCUGAUGCUUCGGAACCGCCUGCUAAGCAGUUUGUAGGUCCAGAACCGACUGCUCAUCAGUCCGUCUGUCCGCAGGCGCGUGAUCAACAUACCAAUGCGUCAACACUUCCUACUCAGCAAACCAACACAUUGGCACGGCCUCCUCAGCACACCGACAAGUGGGCACCACCUGCGCAGAAACCCGACAUAGCUUCAACGCAUGGUCAGCAGUUCGAUGCCUCUGCUCCUAUAGCCCAGCAGUCCGUCACAGCAGCACUGCCAGCUCAGCGGUUCGUCAUAUAUAAACCGUCUGCUAAGCAAUCCGUCCAAGCUUCACCGUCUGCUCGGCAGUCUACCUUGCAGGCAACCAGACGUUCUGCCAGAAAUGCUUCAAGUACUAAGAAGGACGUGGCCAAAAAGGCUACACCCACGACCACGAGGAAGCGCGGCGGGAGAGUGAAGAGGAAAGAGAACGAUUGCCUCUUACUUAAAGCACUCAUCGCCCAGAACCAAAUUAACAGCAGCUUGUUCGAAUCGGGGAGUAAUAUUAUUUCUGACGCCGUGGGUGAUGAAGAAGUACAUUUGUUGCUUCCUAAAAAUAAAGCAGUCAUACUUGAAGCACGCAAUUACGUGCAUGGCCAGCCAUUUCUUGUUGGCGAAUACUUUGAUGAGUGCAGCUCCAGUUGCCGCGAGUUACAUGAAUAUUGCAUGGAUCAAAUGUCAGAAGGUCAUCAUGCUUUGCUAGUCCACUACAAUAGAGAUCAUUUCCGACACGAUGCUGGUUCCAUCAAUGUGAGUUCCGAGGACUUACAUCUCUUCUUCAAGUUCAACGUGCUCGAUGCAUGA